CCCAAAUCUUAUUGUUUUUCUCCCUUAACCCGACAACAACAGCUGUAUCAGCAAAAAAUGUACAAAAAAACCACAGACAACAACAAUAACUUACAUCCACAGCAGCAACACGACAAAAACCAACAACAAACGGUGGCAACAAUACCCGCGACACUGAUUCGGACUACCGGAUAUUAAGAAAUCUGGUGGUUUUCUCGCUUCUCCUCUCUUUUCCAUCAACAUCUCCAAUUCUCCAUCAACAUCACCUCAAUCCUCUUUUCUUUCCCUGCUUUUUCUGAAAAAACGCACACCCAAAAGGGCUCUUUCUCCUCACUGUAAGCUUCUGAAAAGGGAAGAAUAUGAAGAUUCAAUGGUUCUUAAAAGUAUUCUUUCUUUGAAUCAACGGAAAAAAACUGUUCAUUUUGAAGAACCGAAAUCGUCAAAUCCAAAGUCUCAAUCUUUUAAAGUUACUCUGAAAAGUGGUGGAAUCGCUCUUUGACUUGUCUUCAUAGUUCGCUCUACGAAAAAAGGUAAUUACCAUCUCCAUACUUCUAUGUAAUUUGCUCUUUCUGUAGGUAUUCGGUUGAUCAGUAUUUUUUUGUGUUUAAUAGCUGGUUUUUUUACUUUUCGCUCACUGUAGUACUUAAUUAUUACAUUUUUUGUAUUCGUCUGACUUAUAAGGUGAAGUGAAAUGUGGUUUGUUUGCUCGUUUCUCCUUAGAACAUUCAAGUUUCGAGUUUAGUAUCAAAAUCACUGUGUUGCUAAAACCGGCUGCAAUUUUCAAUAGUUUAAUAUAAAAAGUGCACCUUUUUUAUCAUUAAUUUUUUUUUUCUUUCUUUUAGCAUUCUAAAUUUUGAUCCAUGUCUCGUUGCAACUUAGAAGCUGUUGGUUGAAUCCCAUUAUGUAUGUUCUUCCUCUGUUUUUAGUUCCUUUUACUCAUAUAGAGUCAUCGAUGUUCUCUUUGCUUGCCCAGAAUUUGAGUGUAGUAUGCACGGGUGGAUACCUCUUUCCAUCCUGUCCCUCGAUUGUUGUCUCGAUUCAUGACUCGUGGAGUUAGUCUCGCGUAUAGUGCUUUCGUUUAAAAACACGUUGGCUGCAUUAUUUGCUCAGCUUUGGUUAAAAUCUUGUUAAAAUGUGAAGAUUUGCAUUUAUGAGACUUCCAGUGUUAAUAUUUGAUGUUUUUCUCUUCCAGCUGUUAUGUGAUUUGAGAUAUAGGAUUGUGUGCCUUAAAUUUUUCUUAAAUAUCUAACUAGAAUAUGGAUAAAUUGAAACAGAAUGUGCUCCUCUUAAGCCCGGGAUAAUAUAUGUUUCAAGUAUUGAGUUAGUUAAUUAUAGUUUAUUUCGAUAAAUCGAGUAGGAUCUUAACUCCUUUCCUCCCUCGUUUAAGUUGGUUUUAAUAAGUGUAUGCACCAAUAUCUUUGUCAAACCUUUGUAUUUAAUAUGUAAUGGGAUAUUAUGUGAAACGUUAGGCAUAUCUCCAGUAGAGGCAUUGCAGGACAUUAAAUUUUCAAUUCACUUGUCAUUUACCAUUAUUUAGACAAUGUUGUAUUCAAAUAGGAGCCAAAAAAUGCAAGUUGUUUCCCUUUUUCCCAUAUAAUACAAUAUGUCAACAUUUGUUGAAGAGUUGAGUGUUUGUUAAUCUGGUUUUGCCCAUCCAUGAGUAUUUGUCAUGACAAAAACAAUAAUUUGCACUUAAUUGGUUUAGUCUUACAUCUAUGUCAUACUGAGCCUUUUUUUUUUUUUUUUCUAGCCUUGAUACAUAUAUCCCUGUUUAAUGAUAUGCUUUUGAGCCAACAAAAAUGUGUUGUUGUUUUUUUCUUCCUUGUUUUCUAGAGAUUGAAAUGUUCUGUAGAAAUGCCUAUUAGUUUAAAAGGCUCUAUUGCAUCAUAAUGACCUUUUUAGUGCAACCAACCAUGUGUUACAACAUAAGCUUAGUUCAAAUUAGUUUCAAAAUUUUCCAAACAGUCAAAAGUUUUUGUUAGAGCUUAAUUAUAUGAUCCUUUUCACGUACUAAUCCUUUUCUAUCCCUUUUAUGCAUGAACCUCCUCAUCGAGUCCAUUGGACUCCCAACUAUCGCAUUCCGUCGGGUUAAGCCCAACCUCCAUCGAGUCAAAGCCUCAACCGAAUUCACAAAUAGACUUAUAUACGCUAAAAAACACUGAUAUACAAAUGUAUACAACUGAUAUACGUUUGCAGCUGACUGCACUGAUGUACACCGUAUACACAGCGGCUUACUGCACUGAUGUACACCUUAUACACAGCGGUAUACCCAAGAACGCAGAAAAUAAGCUGCUGAUAUACAGAAGAUAUACAGGGGCAAAAAAUGAGCUAAAGUCCAUGGAAUUGGUCCAAAUUGGACAGAUUUUUUAAUGAAACGUGGGUUUUGGAGACCCACGUUCUACCGAAUUGAACUAAGAGCGCUUUCUUAUCAGAAUAGAUAAGACUGUAAACAAAAGGAUUCUUUUCAUAACCCCAAUACAUUUUGUAUGCAUAUACUAGAAUGGAAUGAUAAAAAUAAAAGAUUAUGUCCAAUUUGAAGUGAUCUCAAUUGAUCCCUCGUUACUGCUCAGUGGAGCAGUAAUAGGUAGGGAUGACGGGAUUUGAACCCGUGACAUUUUGUACCCAAAACAAAUGCGCUGCUACCAAGCUGCGCCACAUUCCUUCAAUUGUUCCACAGUGGAAUUGUAGAGAAUUCCUGUCUUGUUUUCCACAUGGUUAUUUUCUCCAUUGAUAUAUACAAAUUUUUUGCUCAUUUCGUCUUUUUGGUCUCACUUAACAUAUAAUAGUAAAGGGAAAAAACUUCUCUUAUAUAGAAAAUACUUAUAUACAAUUAUAUACAAAAUAAAUAUAUAAAUACAGAACUCGUCGUAAAAAUAAAUUAGUAUUCUUCAAAAAUUCUCGGUAAGAAAGAAAGGGAUGUAUUUUUUUUCUGUUUUAAGAAAAGGAAAAUCUUAUUUCCAAAAUCAUUGUACAUUUCAAUUUGAAUUAGGAAUUAUGUGUCCAACUCUAAGCAGCCCUUAACUACAUAUGCAUCUGAUCAUAUAUGUAUUAUCUAUAUUCCAACAAAUAAUACAAAAGGAGGUUUUUCAAUGCGAGAUCUAAAAACAUAUCUCUUUGUGGCACCAGUACUAAGUACGCUAUGGUUCGGGGCUUUAGCAGGUCUAUUGAUAGAGAUUAAUCGUUUUUUCCCGGAUGCGUUGACAUUCCCCUUUUUUUCAUUCUAGUUAUUGUCAUGGGAAGGAAUGAAGAAAAUUAGAGAUCCAAUCAAAUAUUGGUGAUGAAUCCCUCUCCCCCUCUUUUCUCUUUUUCUCCUUUUAAGAAUAAGGGAGGAAAGAGAAAGAAUAAAAAAGUGGAUUCAACAUUCGGGCUCAAGUUCGAAUUAAUUGAAUAUUAAUCAUAGAGGAAUGAGGGUAAAAUAGAAAAUGGGGGUCUAGGGCAAGAGUAUUAUACAAGAUACUUAAAUGAUUACUUAAAUUUGCAAUAUACUUUAGAAAAAUCGUUGUAUUUUACUAUGACUUUGCUUUACUAUUACUUUAUUUUCUUAAUUUUAAUCUUUUACUUUUAGAAUUGGAUUUCAAGUUAGUAACUUCUAUUUUAUCCUUUCUUCGUUUUGAAUCGAAAAUAGAAGAGUUGAGUAAAUCAAAAAUCCAAAGGAGGUUCAUGGCCAAGGGGAAAGAUGUCCGAGUAACGGUGAUUUUGGAAUGUACUAGUUGUGUUCGAAACAGUGUUGAUAAGGUAUCAAGAGGUAUUUCCAGAUAUAGUACUCAAAAGAACCGGCACAAUACGCCUAAUCGAUUAGAAUUGAAAAAAUUCUGUCCCUAUUUUUACAAACAUACGGUUCAUGGGGAGAUUAAAAAAUAGAGCAAACCAAGUACCUGUGCCUUACCCUUUCAAGGAAGGGGAAAAAAUGACAUUAUAUAUAACAUAUUUAAAUAGAAACUAAACACAUUCUAUUUUUCAAAAAUUCUAUUUUAUUUUGGGUGGAUUUAAAAUGAAUUAGAAUUAAGAAAUAGGAUUUUAGGGAUAAGGAAUAAAUUAAACAAACAAACCAUGGAUAAAUCCAAGCGACCUUUUCUUAAAUUCAAGCGAUCUUUUCGUAGGCGUUUGCCCCCGAUUCAAUCGGGGGAUCGAAUUGAUUAUAGAAACAUGAGUUUAAUUAGUCGAUUUAUUAGUCAACAAGGAAAAAUAUUAUCAAGACGCAUGAACAGAUUGACCUUGAAACAACAUGAUUAAUUACUCUUGCUAUAAAAUAAGCUCGUAUUUUAUCUUUGUUACCUUUUCUCAAUAAUGAGAAAAAAUUUGAAAGAACUGAGUCGACCGCUAGAACUACUGGUUUUAAAGCUCGAAAUAAAUAGGCUUACUUUUUCUUUACUUGAAUCAUAAUUACUCAAAUCUAGAUUCACUCAAAUCUAGAUUUUAGUAUCGUGUCGUAAGAAACAAAUGAAUCGGAAAAAACGAAAUCUGUUUUUAUUGAAUUGAACGUGUUCAUUCAUUUUGACUACUUUAGCAUAUUUUCUCAUACUAAUUUCUAACUCGUCCGGUAGAAGAAACCUCCAUUUAUUCUCAGGAGAGCGUGGGGAGCUUUUAAAGACUCCGGGUUGAUUUUGUUCAAAAUCAUAUAAAGACAAUUCCUAUUUGAUAUAGCUAUUUGUGCAAGUAUUUUACAAUUAAGAAGCAACCGUCUAUUGUAAAGAUUGUGUAUUAAUUUACUAUAACUAUCAGAGACUCCCCCUUUGCGAA